rnacentral:rRNA from 1 species
GCCGCGGUAAUACGAAGGGACCUAGCGUAGUUCGGAAUUACUGGGCUUAAAGAGUUCGUAGGUGGUUGAAAAAGUUGGUGGUGAAAUCCCAGAGCUUAACUCUGGAACUGCCAUCAAAACUUUUCAGCUAGAGUAUGAUAGAGGAAAGCAGAAUUUCUAGUGUAGAGGUGAAAUUCGUAGAUAUUAGAAAGAAUACCAAUUGCGAAGGCAGCUUUCUGGAUCAUUACUGACGCUGAGGAACGAAAGCAUGGGUAGCGAAGAGGAUUAGAUACCCUCGUAGUCCAUGCCGUAAACGAUGUGUGUUAGACGUUGGAAAUUUAUUUUCAGUGUCGCAGCGAAAGCGAUAAACACACCGCCUGGGGAGUACGACCGCAAGGUUAAAACUCAAAUGAAUUGACGGGGACCCGCACAAGUAGUGGAGCAUGUGGUUUAAUUCGAAGAUACGCGCAGAACCUUACCAACACUUGACAUGUUCGUCGCGACUUUAAGAGAUUAAAGUUUUCGGUUCGGCCGGACGAAACACAGGUGCUGCAUGGCUGUCGUCAGCUCGUGUCGUGAGAUGUUGGGUUAAGUCCCGCAACGAGCGCAACCCUCACUUUUAGUUGCCAUCAUUAAGUUGGGCACUCUGAAAGAACUGCCAGUGAUAAGCUGGAGGAAGGUGGGGAUGACGUCAAGUCCUCAUGGCCCUUACGUGUUGGGCUACACACGUGCUACAAUGGUAUCUACACAGGAAGCAAGACUGCGAAGUUAAGCAAAUCCUUAAAAGAUACCUCAGUUCGGAUUGCACUCUGCAACUCGAGUGCAUGAAGCUGGAAUUACUAGUAAUCGUGGAUCAGCGUGCCACGGUGAAUGCGUUCCCGGGUCUUGUACACACCGCCCGUCACACCAUGGGAGUUGGUUCUACCUUAAGGCAAGGUUUCAAACCCUUGACCACGGUAUAGUCAGCGACUGGGGUGAAGUCGUAACAAGGUAGCCGUAGGGGAACCUGCGGCUG